rnacentral:tRNA from 1 species
UAGCUCAGUCGGUUGAGCAUAGUGCUGAUAACACCAAGGUCGCAGGUUCGAUUCCCGU